rnacentral:piRNA from 1 species
GCUAACCUGAAUGCAUUUUUUCCCCAG